UUUUUUCAUUGGAUUGUCGUA
rnacentral:piRNA from 1 species